rnacentral:sRNA from 1 species
AAUUUAGAAUACCCAGCCAAGGGAGGGGAACGAAAAGCAACCCAGCCAAGGGAAACACUCGAGUGCACAGCCGAGGUUACCUCGCUUCCAAAGUCUCACAGUCAUCUGAGCCUCCACAACCAAAUCACCGUGUAUAACAGUCGAUCCGGUAACCGAGUUGUGAGGCUCAGCCCGGAAAAGGAUAGCCCACCUGGCCCCCAAAAGCCAACCAAAGAGAAAAUAAUCUCAACAAGCAACAGAGAUUUGCUGCACUGUGAACAUGACGAGAACAAAGAGGUCCAGUGAGCCCCUCGAGUCCAGCUUUAGGGUCCUGUCAAGAAGCAGGGGUUGCAAUGGCGGGCAGGGGGCAUACUUAACUAAGCAGUCAUGGUUAAGGUGAGGUCUUGCUCACAAUCAUUGUCUGGACUCCAGCCUCUCUUCAAAGGUAGUCUGGCUGCCAAGAAAGAACAAUCCCUUGCUACAGCAAGAAGUCUGAAGGAGCUGGCUAUAGAGGGCUCAAGACGUCUGUCCUAAACCAGAAUCUGCAUUUCAAAAAGGAAGAGGAAGAGGAAGAAGAGACCGCAGCAACAACAGUAACAACAUCAUCAUCAUCAACAACAACAACGAAAGUAGACUAAAGUCACACCUAAAAAUUCUUCAGGCAAAGAUAGAAUCAAGCAACAAGUAUCCAGGUCACUUUACGUAAGCUGGGAAGGUGUCAGACAGAAACACUCCCAGGAAUCUCAGAAGUCAUCCUGAUUCACACAGACUUCUCCGAGGGUGGCACAGGGAGCAACGAGAAGAGAAAUAUGCAAACAACAAGACUUUCUGCUCAGUCUUUACGAACUCUCUAGACUUGGAUGGAGAAGAGACAGGUCCCACAAGGUCAACUGGUCUAGUCAGCUGCAUUCGGCCUGUUUCUUCACCUGUGAAGCAGUACUCGUGGUAGUGUCUUACCUCUUAGGCUCACGGAAAAAUGAACCAAGAAGGCACUGCCCAGGGCAGGGUCAAGGGUGGUGCAAUAAAAAUGCUUGCUUUUUGCCAAUGCAGCAGCAGCUGUGUCUCUGAGUAGUCAGGUGGCUCAUGAGUAGGACUCAAAUCUCGCCAGCCCAAUUCCAGGGUCAUCUCAUUCUACCC